GAUACACAACUUGGACAAAAAGGAAUCCCUAAGAGAUGUUCAAUAUGUAAACAACUUGAGCAUAGAAGAACUAAUUGUCCACAAGCAAGUCAACAACAACACUAGCAAGCUAUACCACACCCUACUCAAGCAAGUCAACAACAACACAAAGAAGUUACACCAUACCCCACUCAAGCAAGUCAAAUUACUCAAAAACCCCAG
rnacentral:lncRNA from 1 species